rnacentral:rRNA from 1 species
GAUGAACGCUGGCUACAGGCUUAACACAUGCAAGUCGAGGGGAAACGACGGGGAAGCUUGCUUCCCCGGGCGUCGACCGGCGCACGGGUGAGUAACGCGUAUCCAACCUGCCUCUGACUGAGGGAUAACCCGUCGAAAGUCGGCCUAAUACCUCAUGGUAUCGUCUGCGGGCAUCCAACGACGAUUAAAGAUUUCAUCGGUCGGGGAUGGGGAUGCGUCUGAUUAGCUUGUUGGCGGGGUAACGGCCCACCAAGGCUACGAUCAGUAGGGGUUCUGAGAGGAAGGUCCCCCACAUUGGAACUGAGACACGGUCCAAACUCCUACGGGAGGCAGCAGUGAGGAAUAUUGGUCAAUGGGCGAGAGCCUGAACCAGCCAAGUAGCGUGCAGGAAGACGGCCCUAUGGGUUGUAAACUGCUUUUAUGCGGGGAUAAAGUGAGGGACGUGUCCCUCAUUGCAGGUACCGCAUGAAUAAGGACCGGCUAAUUCCGUG